UACGGGGGGAGCAAGCGUUGUUCGGAUUUACUGGGCGUAAAGGGCGCGUAGGCGGCGCAACAAGUCACUUGUGAAAUCUCCGGGCUUAACCCGGAGCGGCCAAGUGAUACUGCCGUGCUAGAGUGCGGAAGGGGCUACUGGAAUUCUCGGUGUAGCGGCGAAAUGCGUAGAUAUCGAGAGGAACACCUGCGGCGAAGGCGGGUAGCUGGGCCGACACUGACGCUGAGGCGCGAAAGCGUGGGGAGCAAACAGG
rnacentral:rRNA from 1 species